rnacentral:rRNA from 1 species
AGAGUUUGAUCCUGGCUCAGGACGAACGCUGGCGGUGUGCUUCACACAUGCAAGUCGAGCGAAUGAAGUAGGUAGCUUGCUACUUAUGGAUUUAGCGGCGGACGGGUGAGUAAUAUAUAGGAAUCUGCCCUAAUGCGGGGAACAACAGACCGAAAGGUCUGCUAAUGCCCCAUAGGUAUGCAGUCUUCGGAUUGUAUAUUAAAGGAGUAAUCCACUUUAGGAUGAGCCUGUAUCCGAUUAGCUUGUUGGCGGGGUAAUGGCCCACCAAGGCUACGAUCGGUAGUUGGUCUGAGAGGAUGAUCAGCCACAAUGGGACUGAGACACGGCCCAUACUCCUACGGGAGGCAGCAGUGGGGAAUUUUACACAAUGGGGGAAACCCUGAUGUAGCGACACCGCGUGAACGAAGAAGCCUUUUGGGGUGUAAAGUUCUGUCGGCUGGAACGAAAAAAAUGACGGUACCAGCAAAGGAAGCAUCGGCUAACUACGUGCCAGCAGCCGCGGUAAGACGUAGGAUGCAAGCGUUGUCCGGAUUUAUUGGGCGUAAAGAGUUCGUAGGCGGUUAUUUAAGUCUGAUGUUAAAUACUGUGGCCCAACCACAGAACUGCAUUGGAUACUGGAUGACUUGAGUGCGGUAGAGGCAAGUGGAAUUCCCAGUGUAGCGGUGAAAUGCGUAGA